AUACGUAGGGAGCGAGCGUUGUCCGGAAUUACUGGGUGUAAAGGGAGCGUAGGCGGGAGUGCAAGUCAGAUGUGAAAUGCAUGGGCUUAACCCAUGAGCUGCAUUUGAAACUGCAUUUCUUGAGUGCAGUAGAGGUAAGCGGAAUUCCUGGUGUAGCGGUGAAAUGCGUAGAUAUCAGGAGGAACACCGGUGGCGAAGGCGGCUUACUGGGCUUUUACUGACGCUGAGGCUCGAAAGCGUGGGGAGCAAACAGGAUUAGAUACCCUGGUAGUCCACGCUGUAAACGAUGAUUACUAGGUGUGGGGGGACUGACCCCUUCCGUGCCGCAGUUAACACAAUAAGUAAUCCACCUGGGGAGUACGGCCGCAAGGUUGAAACUUAAAGGAAUUGACGGGG
rnacentral:rRNA from 1 species